GCCUCAAAAUCAUGUAUAUUCACCAAAAACUGCCAGAAAAUGUAAAUUCAAACCCUUUUCUUCAAUUCUACGCCAAAAAGUCAACAAAACACAACACGCAAUAGGAUUCAAUAGGAAGGAUGUUGGAUGGAAAAGGGGAAGUGAGAGAAGACUAUAAAUAGAAGGGAUUACAUUCGUGGAUAGAGUCCAUUGAUUAGGGUGUGUAUAAUAACAACGCCAUACUAGCGUGUUUCUCAGCCUCGAUCUGAGAUUGGAAAAGAAAAGGUGGUUGACAUUUUGUUCUGUCUUUACAAAAUAACAAGAUGAGUUCUGGUGUAAAAGUGACUGAAGAAAUUCAACUGAAAUAUGAACAUUUUAAAAUGAAGAAACGACUCAGAUUUGUUUCGCUGAGGUUAGUGGAACUGGAGGAUGAGAAUACUGGAAUGAAAACGUUAACUUUUGGUAUAGAAAAAGAAUUGAUGAAAGGCCAGGAGUGCGACGGCGACCCCCUCACUGAUUUGGUUGAACUCAUCAAGGAUAAUAGCCCAAGGUUCAUUUUUUUCGACUAUCCUGUCUUGAGCAAAACGGAUAAAACUUCUAAAAAGGAUCAGUUGUUCAUGAUACAAUUCAUACCAGAUAGUUGUAAAAUUAAAGAGAAAAUGGUGUAUGCCUCUAGUGCACAGGGUGUGAAAGCGAUUUGUGACGGAAGCAGCAAAUAUGUUCAACUGAAUGAGUGGGAAGAUCUUAAACCGGAACUGCUACAAGAAAUUUAUAACAGUAAAUAAACAUUGCUCCAUUUUACCAAGAAUCGUUCCAUCACAACAGUUACAACUGAAUUCAGUGGUACAUAUUUAAAACGUUGCCAACUGACAUUAGUCAAAGUUAUAUAUACCACUGAGUUAAUUUUUUUAUAUGCUUAUUAACCAUUGAAAUUUAGAAUUAUGAUCUGGUCAUCUGUAUCUUUUAAAUUAAAUUAAUUCAGCUGGUGGACACUAUCGAGCGAUUAUUGAUUUUUUUUAAUAACAUAUUAGGAAAAUCACGAAAAACUCCAAUAUAUAUUUGUAUCUUGUUUUAGUGCUGUUUUUCUUUUUUGAUUAUACAUUUGAAUGCUUUAAAUUUGGGAUUACCUUUCGACACAAAUGUUUUCUGUAGGCUAAGAAUGGAAACGUUAACAUACCUUAUUUUCAAAACACCUGGGUAUUGAUGAAAUCAAUCAAGGGCUAAUAAUGAUUGGAAAUGAUCAAUUAUUGUAAUUAAUUUUCCAUGUACCAUUAAAAUCUGUUCUUGAAAUCUUAAUUGUGUAUAUGUGAACAAAAUAUGUAAGAACAUUUGUUUUGAAAAUUA